UACAGAGGUCUCAAGCGUUGUUCGGAUUCAUUGGGCGUAAAGGGUGUGUAGGUGGCGCGCUAAGUCGGGUGUGAAAUUUCGGAGCUUAACUCCGAAACUGCAUUCGAUACUGCGGUGCUUGAGGACUGGAGAGGAGACUGGAAUUCAUGGUGUAGCAGUGAAAUGCGUAGAGAUCAUGAGGAAGACCAGUGGCGAAGGCGGGUCUCUGGACAGUUCCUGACACUGAGGCACGAAGGCCAGGGGAGCAAACGGG
rnacentral:rRNA from 1 species